GACGAACGCUGGCGGCGUGCCUAAUACAUGCAAGUCGAACGCAUUUUCUUUCACCGUAGUUUGCUACACCGACAGAAAAUGAGUGGCGAACGGGUGAGUAACACGUUGGUAACCUGCCCAUCAGCGGGGGAUAACACUUGGAAACAGGUGCUAAUACCGCAUAAUUCCAUUUACCGCAUGGUAGAUGGAUGAAAGGCGCUUUUGCGUCACUGAUGGAUGGACCCGCGGUGCAUUAGCUAGUUGGUGGGGUAACGGCCUACCAAGGCUGCGAUGCAUAGCCGGCCUGAGAGGGUGAUCGGCCACACUGGGACUGAGACACGGCCCAGACUCCUACGGGAGGCAGCAGUAGGGAAUCUUCGGCAAUGGACGCAAGUCUGACCGAGCAACGCCGCGUGAGUGAAGAAGGUUUUCGGAUCGUAAAACUCUGUUGUUAGAGAAGAACAAGGAUGAGAGUGGAAAGUUCAUCCCUUGACGGUAUCUAACCAGAAAGCCAUGGCUAACUACGUG
rnacentral:rRNA from 1 species